GAAAGGUGAAGGACCCGGUCUUCGGACUGGGAGCGUACACAGGUGCUGCAUGGCUGUCGUCAGCUCGUGUCGUGAGAUGUUGGGUUAAGUCCCGCAACGAGCGCAACCCUUGUCCUUAGUUACCAGCACGUUAUGGUGGGCACUCUAAGGAGACUGCCGGUGACAAACCGGAGGAAGGUGGGGAUGACGUCAAGUCAUCAUGGCCUUUAUGACCAGGGCUACACACGUACUACAAUGGCCGAUACAAAGGGCAGCGACACUGCGAGGUGAAGCCAAUCCCGUAAAAUCGGUCUCAGUCCGGAUUGGAGUCUGCAACUCGACUCCAUGAAGUUGGAAUCGCUAGUAAUCGUGGAUCAGCAUGCCACGGUGAAUACGUUCCCGGGCCUU
rnacentral:rRNA from 1 species